UACAGAGGUCUCAAGCGUUGUUCGGAUUCAUUGGGCGUAAAGGGUGCGUAGGCGGUGAGGUAAGUCGGAUGUGAAAUCCCGGGGCUCAACCCCGGAACUGCAUUCGAUACUGCCUUGCUUGAGCACUGGAGAGGAGACUGGAAUUUACGGUGUAGCAGUGAAAUGCGUAGAUAUCGUAAGGAAGACCAGUGGCGAAGGCGAGUCUCUGGACAGUUGCUGACGCUGAGGCGCGAAAGCGUGGGGAGCAAACAGG
rnacentral:rRNA from 1 species